CAGUAGCCACGGUAAUACAGAGGGUGCAAGCGUUAAUCGGAAUUACUGGGCGUAAAGCGCGCGUAGGUGGUUUGUUAAGUUGGAUGUGAAAUCCCCGGGCUCAACCUGGGAACUGCAUUCAAAACUGACUGACUAGAGCAUGGUAGAGGGUGGUGGAAUUUCCUGUGUAGCGGUAAAAUGCGUAGAUAUAGGAAGGAACACCAGUGGCGAAGGCGACCACCUGGACUAAUACUGACACUGAGGUGCGAAAGCGUGGGGAGCAAACAGGAUUAGAUACCCGAGUAGUCCCUGUCUCUUAUAC
rnacentral:rRNA from 1 species